rnacentral:rRNA from 1 species
GACGAACGCUGGCGGCGUGCUUAACACAUGCAAGUCGAACGGAAAGGCCCUGCUUUUGUGGGUUGCUCGAGUGGCGAACGGGUGAGUAACACGUGAGUAACCUGCCCUUGACUUUGGGAUAACUUCAGGAAACUGGGGCUAAUACCGGAUAGGAGCUCCUGCUGCAUGGUGGGGGUUGGAAAGUUUCGGCGGUUGGGGAUGGACUCGCGGCUUAUCAGCUUGUUGGUGGGGUAGUGGCUUACCAAGGCUUUGACGGGUAGCCGGCCUGAGAGGGUGACCGGCCACAUUGGGACUGAGAUACGGCCCAGACGCCUACGGGAGGCAGCAGUGGGGAAUAUUGCACAAUGGGCGGAAGCCUGAGGCAGCAACGCCGCGUGCGGGAUGACGGCCUUCGGGUUGUAAACCGCUUUCGCCUGUGACGAAGCGUGAGUGACGGUAAUGGGUAAAGAAGCACCGGCUAACUACGUG